UACGUAGGGGGCGAGCGUUGUCCGGAUUCAUUGGGCGUAAAGAGCUCGUAGGCGGCUUGGUUAGUUGGGUGUGAAACCUCCAGGCUUAACCUGGAGACGCCACUCAAUACUGCCAUGGCUAGAGUCCGGUAGGGGACCACGGAAUUCCUGGUGUAGCGGUGAAAUGCGCAGAUAUCAGGAGGAACACCGGUGGCGAAGGCGGGUCUCUGGGCCGAUACUGACGCUGAGGAGCGAAAGCGUGGGGAGCGAACAGG
rnacentral:rRNA from 1 species